rnacentral:rRNA from 1 species
AGCGAACGCUGGCGGCAGGCUUAACACAUGCAAGUCGAGCGGGCACUCCGGUGUCAGCGGCCGACGGGUGAGUAACACGUGGGAACGUACCCUUUGGUUCGGAAUAACGCUGGGAAACUAGCGCUAAUACCGGAUACGCCCUUUUGGGGAAAGGCUUGCUGCCGAAGGAUCGGCCGGCGUCUGAUUAGCUAGUUGGUGGGGUCAUGGACUACCAAGGCGACGAUCAGUAGCUGGUCUGAGAGGAUGAUCAGCCACACUGGGACUGAGACACGGCCCAGACUCCUACGGGAGGCAGCAGUGGAGAAUAUUGGACAAUGGGCGCAAGCCUGAUCCAGCCAUGCCGCGUGGGUGAUGAAGGCCUUAGGGUUGUGAAGCUCUUUUGUCCGGGACGAUAAUGACGGUACCGGAAGAAUAAGCCCCGGCUAACUUCGUG